rnacentral:rRNA from 1 species
CCUACGGGAGGCAGCAGUGGGGAAUUUUGGACAAUGGGGGCAACCCUGAUCCAGCCAUGCCGCGUGAGUGAAGAAGGCCUUCGGGUUGUAAAGCUCUUUCGGCCGGAACGAAAUCGCGCACGUGAAUAACGUGCGUGGAUGACGGUACCGGAGUAAGAAGCACCGGCUAACUACGUGCCAGCAGCCGCGGUAAUACGUAGGGUGCGAGCGUUAAUCGGAAUUACUGGGCGUAAAGCGUGCGCAGGCGGUUCGCUAAGUCAGACGUGAAAGCCCCGGGCUUAACCUGGGAACGGCGUUUGAAACUGGCGGGCUCGAGUACGGCAGAGGGGGGUGGAAUUCCACGUGUAGCAGUGAAAUGCGUAGAUAUGUGGAGGAACACCGAUGGCGAAGGCAGCCCCCUGGGCCGAUACUGACGCUCAUGCACGAAAGCGUGGGGAGCAAAACAGGAUUAGAUACCCUGGUAGUCCACGCCCUAAACUAUGUCAACUAGUUGUCGGGGAAGCAAUUCCUUGGUAACGCAGCUAACGCGUGAAGUUGACCGCCUGGGGAGUACGGUCGCAAGAUUAAAAACUCAAAAGGAAUUGACGG